UAGGGAAUCUUCGGCAAUGGACGGAAGUCUGACCGAGCAACGCCGCGUGAGUGAAGAAGGUUUUCGGAUCGUAAAGCUCUGUUGUUAGAGAAGAACGUUGGUAGGAGUGGAAAAUCUACCAAGUGACGGUAACUAACCAGAAAGGGACGGCUAACUACGUGCCAGCAGCCGCGGUAAUACGUAGGUCCCGAGCGUUGUCCGGAUUUAUUGGGCGUAAAGCGAGCGCAGGCGGUUCUUUAAGUCUGAAGUUAAAGGCAGUGGCUUAACCAUUGUACGCUUUGGAAACUGGAGGAUUUGAGUGCAGGAGGGGAGAGUGGAAUUCCAUGUGUGGCGGUGAAAUGCGUAGAUAUAUGGAGGAACAGCGGUGGCGAAAGCGUCUCUCUGGUCUGUAACUGACGCUGAGGCUCGAAAGCGUGGGGAGCAAACAGG
rnacentral:rRNA from 1 species